CCGGAGUUAUACUUUCGAACAAUGUAUUAGUCCAGUACUUUUAGAGUCCUGCAUUUUUAUUGCUUUAAAAUGUAUUUUGCUUUUUUUUUUUUAAAUAGUUGUUGAUACCUCUGAAGAAGACUCUUCAAGCAGACUUAGCAGCAAAUCUGGCAUUGAUGAUUCAAGGCCUGCAUCACACAAUGAAGACGUGAAGCAUAAAGUUAUUUCAGAAACAUGUACCCCGACAGCAAAGACAUCUAAAAAUCAAAGCAAGCAUCUGGAAAAAAUGUCUCAAGAAUCACAAAUAAAUAGGGCAUGUGAC